rnacentral:tRNA from 1 species
UCCUUGGUGGCUCAGAUGGUAAAGCAUCUGCCUGCAAUGCGGGAGACCUGGGUUCGAUUCCUGGGUCAGGAA